UCAUCAUCUUGGUCUUCUAUGUUGGAAAUUAUCAUUAUUACAACUUCUAGUUAUCAUCAUCUCCUUGAGGGCAAUGUGAUGGGACGAGCCAGUUUCUUAUUAGUUAAUCUCACAUCAUCAAGUAAAGGAAAAGGUAACAAAGUGAGCGGUGGUGGUAAUGUUUAGAUGUCUGUGCAUGUGGAUCCAAAGGGAUAAUACUAAUGAAUAGAGUAUGAGGACAAGACUGAUUUCUUCUUGCACAUCCCUGUAAAAUUGGCGGCGUUUGUUUCUGACAAUCUCAUUUACACUCUUGGACCAGUUUAACCUCCACCCCUUGAUAGUAUUUGAUGCUAAUCAUUUCAGAAAAUUCAAUACAAUCACAACAAUCAAAAGGGAAAAGAUCAGCAAACCAAUUCAACAAUGAAAUAUCCAAGUUACAUAAAAAAAAACAACUCACACAUCGAGCGGGAGACAUUAAAUGCUGAUUAUCAACAUUCAUAUAAAUGGACGUGUUAUCAUUGGGAUUUUUUUCUCUCCACCUCUCAUUCUGCACACUUAUUAAUUCCUGAAUGUUUUUCGGCAAUUGAUAACCUUGAUUAUUGCAAUGGAUAUCGUUUAAUACUGCAAAUAUAUUUAUGCAUUUGAUUGUUAACAAUCAAACAAAAGGAGUUGUAUUAGUUUCCAUUGCAUUUUGACGCUUGAAAGAGUUGAUAACAUUUACAAAACAAAGCAUUAAAUGGUUUCACUGGGUUAGUAUUUUUUUUAUUACAGCAAAAGGGUUACAUAAAUUGAGGAGGAUGAAAAAAGGAUGCGGAUGAGGAGGAGAGCCAAGGAUUUAGGAUGAUGAUGGGGAUAAAGGUGAUUGAAUUGAUUCAAAUAAUUUGCAAUUAUGUUAUUACAAUCAUGAUGCUUUCUUGAUUCUUAGGUUAAAUCAAAGUGGAUCCAAAUAUAUUAUAUGUAUGGAAAAGACAAAGAAGAUAAAAAAAACUUAAACAGUUAUGAGCCAAGUGAUGGUAAAACCGAGAGAGAUGGAGGAUAAGGAUGAUAAUGAUGAGUAUGAAGAUGAUGAUGAUUAUGGAGGAAAAGUGUAUAUGCAAAAUGAAAAAAAAAGGUAAGUGACAUAAAGUGUGUUUGCAUACCAUUAGAUUUAUAUACAGUUACUUAUGAUAGUUUAUGAGUAUUUUUUGUACUUUACGAGUUUGUGUUGUUUUUAUCAACUAAACAGAA